rnacentral:rRNA from 1 species
UACGUAGGGUGCGAGCGUUGUCCGGAAUUACUGGGCGUAAAGAGUGUGUAGGCGGUGCUCCAAGUCUGGUGUGAAAUCUCCCGGCUCAACUGGGAGGGUGCGCUAGAAACUGGAAUGCUAGAGGAUGGGAGAGGUAAGCGGAAUUCCUGGUGUAGCGGUGAAAUGCGUAGAUAUCAGGAGGAACACCUGUGGUGUAGACAGCUUACUGGACCAUUUCUGACGCUGAGACACGAAAGCGUGGGUAGCAAACAGG